GUCUCAGUAGCACAGUGGUUAGUACAUAGCCCGGAUAGAUUGAGACGCGGGUUCGAUUCCCGCCCGAGAUG
rnacentral:tRNA from 1 species